GGAGUUAGCCGGUGCUUCUUCUGCGAGUAACGUCACAGAUGUAAGGUAUUAACUUACACCCUUUCCUCCUCGCUGAAAGUGCUUUACAACCCGAAGGCCUUCUUCACACACGCGGCAUGGCUGCAUCAGGGUUUCCCCCAUUGUGCAAUAUUCCCCACUGCUGCCUCCCGUAGGAGUCUGGGCCGUGUCUCAGUCCCAGUGUGGCUGAUCAUCCUCUCAGACCAGCUAGGGAUCGUCGCCUAGGUGAGCCUUUACCUCACCUACUAGCUAAUCCCACCUGGGCUUAUCCAUCAGCGCAAGGCCCGAAGGUCCCCUGCUUUCCCCCGUAGGGCGUAUGCGGUAUUAGCAGUCGUUUCCAACUGUUAUCCCCACAAUGGGCAAAUUCCCAGGCAUUACUCACCCGUCCGCCGCUCGUCAUCUUCAAAGCAAGCUUUUGAAAUGUUACCGCUCGACUUGCAUGUGUUAGGCCUGCCGCCAGCGUUCAAUCUGAGCCAGAAUCGAAACCUCGUACGACGUAGACGGGCGGUCGUCGGACGAACGGCGACUAAG
rnacentral:rRNA from 1 species